GUGUACAAUAAAAUGUCCCUGUCAUUGGUUAGUAUAUUUUCUUACGCUAAUUGUAAUUUAAACUCUCGGAGUGCCAUUGAAGGUGAGCACAUUUUGAAUGGUCACCAAAUAAUUCUAUGUGGCAAGAUUGAAACGGAGAAUACUAUACAGAUUAAAGCCCUAGUACUACAGACAUCACAUAUACAUGAAUUGCCACAUGAAGUGAAUGGGGAAUUGGUAAGUCAUUCUUUAAGUAUUCUGCCUUUUACCUGUAGUUGUAAGGCUGGUGCUUCAGAAUGCUGCAAGCAUGUGGUAUCUGUUCUUCUGUUAUUGAACAGAACUCCAAUUGCUGAUUUGGAAACAUUGUCAUCAACUGAUGUAAAAUGUCAAUGGACAAAAUUAAGACAGCCGACAUUAACACAGUACAAACCAUUACCUGUGGAUACGUUUGAUUGUUGUUACAAAAAGACUAGUGAAAUGAAUGUUGAUAUUGAUGGAGAGACAGUUAGAUAAAUUCAGUGGUAUACAAAUUAAAUAUGAAUAAUUAAUGUUGUAAACACUUGUAUUAACAACAUUGUUCAAUGGUUAUCGUGUCAGACAAUCAUCACACCGGAACCAGUUAUCUGUCUUCACAUAUCCUUUAUAUAUCAUCAAUAGUUUAAUCUAAAGUUACAUUGUAUUCAUUAACUAUGAGCAUAGGCGCAAUUAGGGGUAACUUGGGGCCCCUACUCAACUUAGCCCCUCCCCCCCCCCCCACAGUUUUAUCUGUAGCUCCAGUUAUUUUAACUUUUUUUUACUAUAAAAUCAGGGUUUGUACUGUUAAUGCCUCUAAUUACGCCUAUGAUUAUGAGUAAAAUUAUACUAACUGUUGUGUUGUACUAGUCUAUUUGAUUAUCUAGUUGAUGCAUGUUUUUAUGUUAUUACUUAGCUUAGUGAAUACUGUAUGAUUGGUUUUGAAUUUUACUAAUUAUAUAAUAUGAUUGUUUUUUUAACCUAGAUUUUAGAUAAUAACAUUUCUUAUUGCCUCCACCACAAGCCAAGAUUAAAGGAAGUAUUAAUUAGUUCACUCUUAUUUAUAAUACUUGAUAAUUGUACAUUUUAUAAAAAAUUAAUUUGCUGUAUUUUCAAUUUUGAAGGUCGAGGUUUAUUUCUUGUGAAACAGCGUCAGCAUUGGCUCUCCAUAAAUAUGGCCGACAUUUACCAAGUAGUGAUUUAAACCAAAAUAAUAAUGUCCAAUCUAUUGAAUUGAUAUUAUCUUCACAUCCAUUAAUGGACAUCUUGGAAAACUACCCAAUGCUGCUGGAAUCAUGAAUCGUUCCCUGAAAGACAAAACUUUUUGGGAUUCAUGUAGGCAAUUCAGAAUUACAGGGAGUCGGUGUUACAG